UACGUAGGGUGCAAGCGUUGUCCGGAAUUAUUGGGCGUAAAGAGCUCGUAGGCGGUUUGUCGCGUCUGCCGUGAAAGUCCGGGGCUCAACUCCGGAUCUGCGGUGGGUACGGGCAGACUAGAGUGAUGUAGGGGAGACUGGAAUUCCUGGUGUAGCGGUGAAAUGCGCAGAUAUCAGGAGGAACACCGGUGGCGAAGGCGGGUCUCUGGGCAGUAACUGACGCUGAGAAGCGAAAGCGUGGGUAGCGAACAGG
rnacentral:rRNA from 1 species